rnacentral:rRNA from 1 species
GUGUCGUGAGAUGUUGGGUUAAGUCCCGCAACGAGCGCAACCCUCGUCCUUAGUUGCCAUCAUUUAGUUGGGCACUCUAAGGAAACCGCCGGUGAUAAGCCGGAGGAAGGUGGGGAUGACGUCAAGUCCUCAUGGCCCUUACGCGCUGGGCUACACACGUGCUACAAUGGCGGUGACAGUGGGCAGCAAUCUCGCAAGGGUGAGCUAAUCUCCAAAAGCCGUCUCAGUUCGGAUUGUUCUCUGCAACUCGAGAGCAUGAAGGCGGAAUCGCUAGUAAUCGCGGAUCAGCAUGCCGCGGUGAAUACGUUCCCAGGCCUUGUACACACC